CGCCGCCUCCCAGAAUGCUUUGCAUGGGGACGUCACGUAUACAGAAAAUUCAGAAAAUAGAAUGUGAAAGUUUCCCGCGUGAAGCUGUGGAGCUCGAGAUCCUGUUUACUGUGGACUAACUGUGUGUGACGCCAUGUUGUUUUUGUUUCCAUUACAAAAAAAAAGCUCCACCGUCUCGCCGAGUGCCAGCAAGAGUCAUGAGUACUUGUCAACUCGACUCCUCAACUGGAGAUAACUUUCUAGCACCUCACCAUGGGGAAGGAUGUAUUCAUAUGCCUUCACCAGCACCUGCAUUAAACAUGCAGAGAGUUACACAAGUUCUUACCACCUUGGGGCACCAUUCAGGGUGCCUUUUCAUCUGAUUAAAUUUAUAAUGAACAGGGACAUUGCGGUUGUCCCAAGUGGAUGGUAUGAUGAUAGGAUGGUUUUCUGGCCCAGCUAUAAAAACACCGACAGAAUUGAAAGGGCCGCUUUAAAUGAGGAGCAGCAUGAGCCAAACUGGCCAAGAUUUGACGUUUCUGUUGUCCGAACUUGUGACAACUACAAAGACGCAUUAAAAAUAAUGCAACAAUAUGGAAAGGGCUGCGACACCUCAGACCUGCAAUCUGAGGCAGAGAACGAGGAGCUGCCAGAAAAAAGGAACAGGAAGCCAGUCCAUCGUCUCGGGGACUUAGAUGAUAGCGAAGAAGACCCGGGAAAUAGUGACCUCACAUCUCUGGAGUUGGCAAGCCAAUUGCACAGGCAGACUCCAUGAGUACUUGUUAACUCGACUCCUCAACUGGAGAUAACUUUCUAGCACCUCACCAUGGGGAAGGACGCAUUCAUAUGCCUUCACCAGCA